rnacentral:rRNA from 1 species
GACGAACGCUGGCGGCGUGCUUAACACAUGCAAGUCGAACGGUAAGGCCCUUCGGGGUACACGAGUGGCGAACGGGUGAGUAACACGUGGGUGAUCUGCCCUGCACUUCGGGAUAAGCCUGGGAAACUGGGUCUAAUACCGGAUAGGACCACUGCCUGCAUGGGUGGUGGUGGAAAGCUUUUGCGGUGUGGGAUGGGCCCGCGGCCUAUCAGCUUGUUGGCGGGGUGAUGGCCUACCAAGGCGACGACGGGUAGCCGGCCUGAGAGGGUGACCGGCCACACUGGGACUGAGAUACUGCCCAGACUCCUACGGGAGGCAGCAGUGGGGAAUAUUGCACAAUGGGCGCAAGCCUGAUGCAGCGACGCCGCGUGAGGGAUGACGGCCUUCGGGUUGUAAACCUCUUUCAGCACCGACGAAGCGCAAGUGACGGUAGGUGCAGAAGAAGGACCGGCCAACUACGUGCCAGCAGCCGCCGUAA